UGCCAGCCGCCGCGGUAAUACGGAGGAUGCAAGCGUUAUCCGGAUUUAUUAGGUUUAAAGGGUGCGUAGGCGGAGAAUUAAGUCAGUGGUGAAAUCUUGUAGCUUAACUACAAAACCGCCAUUGAUACUGGUUUUCUUGAGUAUAGUUGAGGUAGGCGGAAUGUGUAGUGUAGCGGUGAAAUGCAUAGAUAUUACACAGAACACCAAUUGCGAAGGCAGCUUACUAAACUAUAACUGACGCUGAUGCACGAAAGCGUGGGUAGCGAACAGGAUUAGAUACCCUGGUAGUCCACGCCGUAAACGAUGAUUACUCGUUGCAUGCGAUACAUUGUAUGUGACUUAGCGAAAGCAUUAAGUAAUCCACCUGGGGAGUACGUUGGCAACAAUGAAACUCAAAGGAAUUGACGG
rnacentral:rRNA from 1 species